rnacentral:rRNA from 1 species
UACGUAGGGAGCAAGCGUUGUCCGGAAUCAUUGGGCGUAAAGCGCGCGUAGGCGGCCCCGUAAGUCCGCUGUGAAAGUCAAAGGCUCAACCUUUGAAAGCCGGUGGAUACUGUGGGGCUAGAGUCCGGAAGAGGCGAGUGGAAUUCCUGGUGUAGCGGUGGAAUGCGCAGAUAUCAGGAGGAACACCGGUGGCGAAGGCGGGUCUCUGGGCCGAUACUGACGCUGAGGAGCGAAAGCGUGGGGAGCGAACAGG